rnacentral:rRNA from 1 species
GACGAACGCUGGCGGCGUGCUUAACACAUGCAAGUCGAACGCUGAACCCGCUUCGGUGGGGGCUGAGUGGCGAACGGGUGAGUAACACGUGGGCACCCUGCCCCCGUCUCUGGGAUAACCCCAAGCUAUUGGGGCUAAUACCGGAUGUGACCGCUGGCCGCAUGGUCUGGUGGUGGAAAGGGUUUCCGGCUGGGGUUGGGCCCGGGGCCUAGUCGCAUGUUGGUGGGGUAGUGGCAUACCAGGGCGACGACGGGUAGCCGUCCCGAGAGGGAGACCGGCCUCACUGGGACUGGGACUGGGACAAGACUCAUACGGGAGGGGGCAGUGGGGAAGAUUGCGAUAGGGGCGGAAGCCUAACGCAGAGACGCCGAGGGGGGGAGGGCGGCCUUGGGGUUGGAAACGUCUUGCAGCAGGGACGAAGAGCAAGUGACGGUACCUGCAGAAGUAGGACCGGCCAAAUACGUG